UAUCUCUCCGUACGGGGAAGGAUGAGAAGCUUCGACUAAGGUUCGAUUCGAGCGCAGCGAGAAAGCGUUGCCGCAGGCAAC
rnacentral:sRNA from 1 species